rnacentral:rRNA from 1 species
UACAGAGGUGGCAAGCGUUGUUCGGAAUUACUGGGCGUAAAGGGCGCGUAGGCGGUCUUGUAAGUCUCGUGUGAAAUCCCUCGGCUUAACUGAGGAACUGCACGGGAUACUGCAUGACUUGAGAUCGGGAGAGGGAAGCGGAAUUCCGGGUGUAGCGGUGAAAUGCGUAGAUAUCAGGAGGAACACCGGUGGCGAAGGCGGUUCUCUGGGCAUGUCCUGACGCUGAGGAGCGAAAGUGUGGGGAGCGAACAGG